AAUCAACGCUGGCGGCGUGCCUCAGACAUGCAAGUCGAACGCGAAAGUCCCCUUCGGGGGGCGAGUAGAGUGGCGCACGGGUGAGUAACACGUAGGUAAUCUACCUUUGGAUGGGGAAUAACAACCGGAAACGGUUGCUAAUACCGCAUAAUGCAGCGGCACCUAAUGGUGACAGUUGUUAAAGCGGGGGGAUCGAAAGACCUCGCGUCUGAAGAGGAGCCUGCGGCGGAUUAGCUAGUUGGAAGGUAACGGCUUACCAAGGCUACGAUCCGUAGCCGGCCUGAGAGGGCGGUCGGCCACACUGACACUGACAUACGGGUCAGACUCCUACGGGAGGCAGCAGUCGGGAAUUUUGGGCAAUGGGCGAAAGCCUGACCCAGCAACGCCGCGUGAAGGAUGAAAUCCCUCGGGAUGUAAACUUCG
rnacentral:rRNA from 1 species